UACGGAAGGCAGCAGGGGGAAUAUUGCACAAUGGGCGAAAGCCUGAUGCAGCUAUGCCGCGUGUAUGAAGAAGGCCUUAGGGUUGUAAAGUACUUUCAUCGGGGAGGAAAAAACAAAACUAAUAAUUUUAUUUCUUGACGUUACCCGAAAAAGAAGCACCGGCUAACUCCGUGCCAGCAGCCGCGGUAAUACGGAGGGUGCUAGCGUUAAUCAGAAUUACUGGGCGUAAAGAGCACGUAGGUGGUUUUUUUAAGUCAGAUGUGAAAUCCCCUGGGCUUAACCUAGGAACUGCAUUUUUGAAACUGAAAUACUAGAGUAUCGUAGAGGGAGGUAGAAUUCUAGGUGUAGCGGUGAAAUGCGUAGAUAUCUGGAGGAAUACCUGUGGCGAAAGCGGCCUCCUAAACGAAUACUGACACUGAGGGUGCGAAAGCGUGGGGAGCAAACAGGGAUUAGAUACC
rnacentral:rRNA from 1 species